GGAUAACCUACCCUUAGGACUGGGAUAACCUUGGGAAACUGAGGCUAAUACCGGAUAGGCAAUUUUUCCUGUAAUGGUUUUUUGUUUAAAUGUUUUUUCGCCUAAGGAUGGGUCUGCGGCCGAUUAGGUAGUUGGUUAGGUAAUGGCUUACCAAGCCGUUGAUCGGUACGGGUUGUGAGAGCAAGAGCCCGGAGAUGGAACCUGAGACAAGGUUCCAGGCCCUACGGGGUGCAGCAGGCGCGAAACCUCCGCAAUGUGAGAAAUCGCGACGGGGGGAUCCCAAGUGCCAUUCUUAACGGGAUGGCUUUUCAUUAGUGUAAAGAGCUUUUGGAAUAAGAGCUGGGCAAGACCGGUGCCAGCCGCCGCGGUAACACCGGCAGCUCUAGUGGUAACAAUUUUUAUUGGGCCUAAAGCGUCCGUAGCCGGUUUAAUAAGUCUCUGGUGAAAUCCUGCAGCUUAACUGUGGGAAUUGCUGGAGAUACUAUUAGACUUGAGACCGGGAGAGGUUAGAGGUACUCCCAGGGUAGAGGUGAAAUUCUGUAAUCCUGGGAGGACCGCCUGUUGCGAAGGCGUCUAACUGGAACGGUUCUGACGGUGAGGGACGAAAGUUAGGGGCGCGAACCGGAUUAGAUACCCGGGUAGUCCUAACUGUAAACGAUGCGGACUUGGUGUUGGGGUGGCUUUGAGCUGCUUCAGUGCC
rnacentral:rRNA from 1 species